rnacentral:rRNA from 1 species
GAUGAACGCUGGCGGCGUGCUUAACACAUGCAAGUCGAACGGAAAGGCCCAAGCUUGCUUGGGUACUCGAGUGGCGAACGGGUGAGUAACACGUGGGGGAUCUGCCCUGCACUUCGGGAUAAGCCUGGGAAACUGGGUCUAAUACCGGAUAGGACCACAUUUUGGAUGGUGUGGUGGAAAGAUUUUGGGUGUGGGAUGAGCUCGCGGUGUAUCAGCUUGUUGGUGGGGUAAUGGCCUACCAACGCGUCGACGGGGAGCCGGCCUGAGAGGGUGGACGGCCACCUUGGGACUGAGAUACGGCCCAGACUCCUACGGGAGGGAGAUGUGGGGAAUAUUGCACAAUGGGCGCAAGCCUGAUGCAGCGACGCCGCGUGGGGGAUGACGGCCUUCGGGUUGUAAACUCCUUUCGCUAGGGACGAAGCGUUAUGUGACGGUACCUGGAGAAGAAGCACCGGCUAACUACGUG